UACGUAGGGCGCAAGCGUUGUCCGGAAUUAUUGGGCGUAAAGAGCUCGUAGGCGGUCUGUUACGUCCGCUGUGAAAACCCAGGGCUUAACCCUGGGCUUGCAGUGGAUACGGGCAGACUAGAGGCAGGUAGGGGAGAAUGGAAUUCCCGGUGUAGCGGUGAAAUGCGCAGAUAUCGGGAGGAACACCGGUGGCGAAGGCGGCUCACUGGACCACAACUGACGCUGAUGCACGAAAGCUAGGGGAGCAAACAGG
rnacentral:rRNA from 1 species